AUUGAACGCUGGCGGCAUGAUUUACACAUGCAAGUCGAACGGUAGCAGGCCGCCAGGUGCUGACGAGUGGCGAACGGGUGAGUAAUGCAUCGGAACGUGCCCAGUCGUGGGGGAUAACUACUCGAAAGAGUAGCUAAUACCGCAUACGAUCUAUGGAUGAAAGCGGGGGACCGUAAGGCCUCGCGCGAUUGGAGCGGCCGAUGUCAGAUUAGGUAGUUGGUGGGGUAAAGGCUCACCAAGCCAACGAUCUGUAGCUGGUCUGAGAGGACGACCAGCCACACUGGGACUGAGACACGGCCCAGACUCCUACGGGAGGCAGCAGUGGGGAAUUUUGGACAAUGGGCGCAAGCCUGAUCCAGCAAUGCCGCGUGCAGGAAGAAGGCCUUCGGGUUGUAAACUGCUUUUGUACGGAACGAAACGGCUCUGGUUAAUACCCGGGGCUAAUGACGGUACCGUAAGAAUAAGCACCGGCUAACUACGUG
rnacentral:rRNA from 1 species